CAAUACUUCUCAUCAAAAAUGGCGGUAUGGGUGUACAAACAGAAGGUAAGAUGAUUAGGAACCAAAUCUUUACCGGAAGCACGAAUAUCAAAAGGAUAAAAGUAUUGGAACUCACGGCAAAGACGAGCCAAUGCUUCAUCGGAUAUGCUGGUGUUUUUAGGCUUUGGUGCUUGGCGGAAAACAUGAUCCCAUACUUCAGGAGUCAUUUGCUCAGGCUUAAUGUUCAAAGCACCCGGUACCUUACCAUAUACAUCGCUAUGCAAAAGAUGGCAAAUUGUAUAAUAGGCCAUGUAGAUGGUCGAGUCGGUCAAACUUUCAACAAGGAACUGAGGAUCCCAUGGCAAGCGAGUACCUAAACCAUAAGAACGA